GACGAACGCUGGCGGCGUGCUUAACACAUGCAAGUCGAACGGAAAGGCCCUGCUUUUGUGGGGUGCUCGAGUGGCGAACGGGUGAGUAACACGUGAGUAACCUGCCCUUGACUUUGGGAUAACUUCAGGAAACUGGGGCUAAUACCGGAUAGGAGCUCCUGCUGCAUGGUGGGGGUUGGAAAGUUUCGGCGGUUGGGGAUGGACUCGCGGCUUAUCAGCUUGUUGGUGGGGUAGUGGCUUACCAAGGCUUUGACGGGUAGCCGGCCUGAGAGGGUGACCGGCCACAUUGGGACUGAGAUACGGCCCAGACUCCUACGGGAGGCAGCAGUGGGGAAUAUUGCACAAUGGGCGGAAGCCUGAUGCAGCAACGCCGCGUGCGGGAUGACGGCCUUCGGGUUGUAAACCGCUUUCGCCUGUGACGAAGCGUGAGUGACGGUAAUGGGUAAAGAAGCACCGGCUAACUACGUGCCAGCAGCCGCGGUGAUACGUAGGGUGCGAGCGUUGUCCGGAUUUAUUGGGCGUAAAGGGCUCGUAGGUGGUUGAUCGCGUCGGAAGUGUAAUCUUGGGGCUUAACCCUGAGCGUGCUUUCGAUACGGGUUGACUUGAGGAAGGUAGGGGAGAAUGGAAUUCCUGGUGGAGCGGUGGAAUGCGCAGAUAUCAGGAGGAACACCAGUGGCGAAGGCGGUUCUCUGGGCCUUUCCUGACGCUGAGGAGCGAAAGCGUGGGGAGCGAACAGGCUUAGAUACCCUGGUAGUCCACGCUGUAAACGGUGGGUACUAGGUGUGGGGUCCAUUCCACGGGUUCCGUGCCGUAGCUAACGCUUUAAGUACCCCGCCUGGGGAGUACGGCCGCAAGGCUAAAACUCAAAGGAAUUGACAGGGCCCCGCACAAGCGGCGGAGCAUGCGGAUUAAUUCGAUGCAACGCGUAGAACCUUACCUGGGUUUGACAUGGAUCGGGAGUGCUCAGAGAUGGGUGUGCCUCUUUUGGGGUCGGUUCACAGGUGGUGCAUGGCUGUCGUCAGCUCGUGUCGCGAGAUGUUGGGUUAAGUCCCGCAACGAGCGCAACCCUUGUUCACUGUUGCCAGCACGUUAUGGUGGGGACUCAGUGGAGACCGCCGGGGUCAACUCGGAGGAAGGUGGGGAUGACGUCAAGUCAUCAUGCCCCUUAUGUCCAGGGCUUCACGCAUGCUACAAUGGCUGGUACAGAGAGUGGCGAGCCUGUGAGGGUGAGCGAAUCUCGGAAAGCCGGUCUCAGUUCGGAUUGGGGUCUGCAACUCGACCUCAUGAAGUCGGAGUCGCUAGUAAUCGCAGAUCAGCAACGCUGCGGUGAAUACGUUCCCGGG
rnacentral:rRNA from 1 species